UAGUUCUAACCCUAAACGAUGCUGACUAGCUAUUCGCCGUCGUUAUUCCCAUGACGUGGCGAGACGCCCCCGGGAAACCUCAAGUCUUUGAGUUCCGGGGGUAGUAUGGUUGCAAAACUGAAACUUAAAGGAAUUGACGGAAGGGCACCACCAGGAGUGGAGCCUGCGGCUUAAUUUGACUCAACACGGGAAACCUCACCAGGCCCGGACACCAGAAGGAUUGACAGAUUAAGAGCUCUUUCUCGAUUUGGUGGGUGGUGGUGCAUGGCCGUUCUUAGUUGGUGGAGUGAUUUGUCUGGUUAAUUCCGGUAACGAACGAGACUCUGGCCUACUAACUAGUGGAUGGGUGUCCUGGUAACGGGCCCCAUCCGAUAAUGUCUUCUUAGAGGGAUGAGCAGCGAGUAUAGCUGCAGGAGAUUGAGCAAUAACAGGUCU
rnacentral:rRNA from 1 species